CUUUGGUUUCGCGGUUGAUCCGGGGUGCUGCGGCUUUCUCCGGGUUGUGGGUUGGUGCCCUGCACUUUUCGACAAUUGGUCUAAAAGCCUUCAACACAUGCUCCUGAAACAUGAAGCAUUGCCAGACUUCCUGAGAGUCAGAAGAAUAUCCAAUCCUGCAUGUCUGAAACUUUUCGCUUAUGCUAAGACACAUAAAGCACCCCUGGCUUUUAGACUGAUUGUCGAAGGGUGUAGGGCGCCGGCCUGCAGCCUGGAGAGGGCGGUGGCAUCCUGGAUUGACUGUGAAGCCGGGGUUUGCCCCUGCACUGUAUCAUCUUCGGGGGCGUUGAUUGGGGGAGCA
rnacentral:lncRNA from 1 species